rnacentral:rRNA from 1 species
ACGGAGGGUGCGAGCGUUAAUCGGAAUUACUGGGCGUAAAGCGUGCGCAGGCGGUUCGUUAAGCCAGGUGUGAAAUCCCCGGGCUUAACCUGGGAACUGCGUUUGAAACUGGCGAACUGGAGUACGGUAGAGGGGGGUAGAAUUUCAGGUGUAGCGGUGAAAUGCGUAGAGAUGUGAAGGAACACCGAUGGCGAAGGCAGCCCCCUGGGCCGAUACUGACGCUCAUGCACGAAAGCGUGGGGAGCAAACAG